GUAGUCGUCACGAGAGUUUGGUAUCCUGGCGUCAGGACAACGCUGCGGCGUGCCUAACACAUGCAAAGUCGAACGAAGCUUGAAAUUCAGAUUUCUUCGGAAUGAAGAAUGAUAUGACUGAGUGGCGACGGGUGAGUAACGCGUGAGCAACCUGCCCUUCGAGGGGGAUAGUGUCUGAAACGGACAGUAAUACCGCAUAACGAUUUUUACCGCAUGAUAGAAAUACCAAAACUGAGGUGCCGAAGGAUGGGCUCGCGUUGGAUUAGAUAGUUGUGGGGUAACGGCUACCAAGUCAACGAUCCAUAGCCGGAUUGAGAGGUUGAACGGCCACAUUGGGACUGAGACACGGCCCAGACUCCUACGGGAGGCAGCAGUGGGGAAUAUUGCACAAUGGGGGAAACCCUGAUGCAGCAACGCCGCGUGAAGGAAGACGGUUUUCGGAUUGUAAACUUCUGUUCUUAGUGAAGAAAAAUGACGGUAGCUAAGGAGCAAGCCACGGCUAACUACGUG
rnacentral:rRNA from 1 species